CAACCCACUAACUAAACCUAACUUUAUAAGAAAACUCUAAACCCUAAUCCCCUUUCACUUAUGUUCAGCCGACAUCCCUUAUUCUUCCCUCCCAAAAUUCCUUCUUGCAGCCUUAAUCCCCUUCACAAUUGAAACCACUCCACAAGUUCACUUCCUCUCUCUCUCGGUUAUACCUGCAGACACAAAGAAGUGUGUCUUCUCCAAACACAUAGUCAACCACACCAACCGCACCCCAUCCCCUUGUCUGCUCCGGUCACCGAAGCAGAACCGGUGCCGGUGGUUUUCCGGCCACUCACGCACACCCCGUGUCUCUGAUGAUGAUGAUGCGGCGAUGGUGCAACGAGCGGUGAGAGGAAGGGGAGCUGUCCCUCUCUCCAUCGCCCAAGACGCCGACGAGCUAACGACAAAGCCGUUUUUCCAACCAAACCAGUGGCGGCGGCGGUAGUUUCAUGGCAGAGGCGGCUGUCCAGAUUCCGGUUUCGGGUUCGAGUCAGUCGAUUUCAAUUCAUCGAGUCUCAGUUCGAGGCUCGAUUCAUGCUCGGAGAAGACGACCGGAGAGGAACUCGACGCGACGUUUCUUCUACGUAUUCGGUUGAUGAUUGAUGACACUAUGAAAAUGGAUAGCGAAGAUGCC